AUUGAACGCUGGCGGCAGGCCUAACACAUGCAAGUCGAGCGGGGUUUUCGGACCUAGCGGCGGACGGGUGAGUAAUGCGUAGGAAGCUGCCCGAUAGAGGGGGAUACCAGUUGGAAACGACUGUUAAUACCGCAUAAUGUCUACGGACCAAAGUGUGGGACCUUCGGGCCACAUGCUAUCGGAUGCGCCUACGUGGGAUUAGCUAGUUGGUGAGGUAAUGGCUCACCAAGGCGACGAUCUCUAGCUGGUUUGAGAGGAUGAUCAGCCACACUGGAACUGAGACACGGUCCAGACUCCUACGGGAGGCAGCGGUGGGGAAUAUUGGACAAUGGUGGAAAGCCUGAUCCAGCCAUGCCGCGUGUGUGAAGAAGGCCUUCGGGUUGUAAAGCACUUUCAGCGAGGAGGAAGGGGUGUGUGUUAAUAGUACACACCUUUGACGUUACUCGCAGAAGAAGCACCGGCUAACUCUGUGCCAGCAGCCGCAGUAACAC
rnacentral:rRNA from 1 species